rnacentral:rRNA from 1 species
CCCUGGCUCAGGACGAACGCGGGCGGCGUGCCUAAUACAUGCAAGUCGAGCGGAAUGAUGAAGAAGCUUGCUUCUUCUGAUUUUAGCGGCGGACGGGUGAGUAACACGUGGGCAACCUACCUUGUAGAUUGGGAUAACUCCGGGAAACCGGGGCUAAUACCAAAUAAUCCAUUUUGCUUCAUGGCGAAAUGUUGAAAGGCGGCUUCGGCUGUCACUACGAGAUGGGCCCGCGGCGCAUUAGCUAGUUGGUAGGGUAAUGGCCUACCAAGGCGACGAUGCGUAGCCGACCUGAGAGGGUGAUCGGCCACACUGGGACUGAGACACGGCCCAGACUCCUACGGGAGGCAGCAGUAGGGAAUCUUCCACAAUGGACGAAAGUCUGAUGGAGCAACGCCGCGUGAGUGAAGAAGGUUUUCGGAUCGUAAAACUCUGUUGUAAGGGAAGAACACGUACGAGAGUAACUGCUCGUACCUUGACCGGUACCUUAUUAGAAAGCCACGGCUAACUA